rnacentral:lncRNA from 1 species
UUUUUGUUUUUUGCAGAUUUUUUUUAGGAAGAUUAGCCCUGAGCUAACAUCUGCUGCCAAUUCACCUCUUUUUGCUGAGGAAGACUGGCCCUGAGCUAAUACCCAUGCCCAUCUUCCUCUGCUUUAUAUGUGGGACACCUACCACAGCAUGGAUUGCCAAGCAGCACCAUGUCUGCACCCAGGAUCCGAACCGGCGAACCCCGGGCUGCCGAUGGGGAACGUGUGAACUUAACGGCUGUGCCACCAGGCCGGCCCCUAAAAUGCUAUUUUGUGGUAGGCAGAUAGGUAGUUAAAAGGUAUAACAACAGUAGGGAUUUGUCAAGUACCCAAUUUAUAUGCUUUUUUUUGGCCGUUGGUUUGUGGAUGGUUGGUGGUGAAUAAAUACAAAUGUGGGAGGCCUCAAAGAGUACCCUCCAACCUCAAGAGACCGUGGGGUCUGCUGUUGGAAACCUGGUGAUACAGUGUAAGGAUGUGGAAGAGCUCCUGGAGAAUGGAUCUGCUAUGAUGGAUGCCCACUGCAAACGAAGUGUGCCUUCUUGGUAGGUCUCAACUUCCACUAGAAAAAAAUAUCACAUAGGGGUAUGAAUUUCAGUCCACAAACUCAAAUGUGCAAGAAACGGCACAUAUCUUUACCAUCUAUAAAUCAAUUUAAUUGCAAUUGUGAGCCUGCUUUCUUCCAUAUUUGCAGGAAACCUGAGUCAUUCCCAGGGUCCACCUGCCAGUCCAGGCUAUGCGUGCAUGGUUCAGUGCCUUGCGCAGGAAUCCAACUGAGCUGUUUCCUUCUUGCUGCACGAUUCUCCAGCAGACUUCUGCAGCACCUGGACCUGCCCAGGGCAGGGGCACAUUUCCGGAGGCUGUUUAUGAUUUCUCUUUGCCAGGACGCACCAGCCAGCCACUCCUUUCAGGAGAUUUCUCACAUCCUUUGGGUGCUUCACGUGGUACAGCUGGACUCAAGAGCCUCGACACAAGUGAGAUGUGAUUUUUGGUGAGCCAGGCAAAUUGAAAGAUAUGAUAAAGAGCUCUCCUUCUGUUCAAACAAGAAUAUCGAUAAGGCAGUGGUUUUCUGCUAAUGUUGCCCAAAAGCAUGACUUUGUUUAAAUUCUCUGUAAAUGUCCAAAAGGAAAUGCUGAUGCAAAUGAAUAUUAUGUGUUCCUGUUAAAAAUUUGCAGUGUAACUUUGCAGGAAAUGUAAACUCUGUAGAUUAAUCAAAUGUAACAUCAAUAUAUCAACAAAUAUUAUUGUGCAUAUUUUGUGCCCUAAGCACUAUACUAGGCCUGUUUAUGGAACAAACUUAGUAAAAAUUAUAUACCACCGUGUCCAAACCCUCAAGGAGUAAAUUUUUUAAAAUUUGCAUGGAAAGACAGCUAACAUAAAAGCAAUGGAAGAAAUCACAAAGGAAAGACAGAUUUGACUGCAUGAAAACAUAAAUUUCCUGUUUGUCAAAAUACAAGCUUAUCAGAUAAUAAGCAACAAGGUGAAAAAUAUAUCUAAUUGUGUUGCACCAAGGAUAAGCUCCUUGGUAUAUGAUGAGGUUAUGUAAGUAAUAUGAUAAGACACUAAGAUUCCAGCAGAUAAAUGGUUCACAAACAUGACAUUCACAAACGAGGACAUAGAAUGGUUUAGAAAUAUUU